rnacentral:ncRNA from 1 species
UGAAGUGGGGAAAUGUUCCAUGUGAAAAUCACUUGGACAUGGUCGGUUAGUCAAUCCUAAGAGAUGGGGAAUCCUUGUAUCAAGGGUGCACUCUGCAUGAAAAUCGAAAAAGAAUUGGGUUAAUAUUCCCGAACCAGGACAUGGUGGUGGACGACAAUGUUAGGAAAUCUGGAGAUGUCAUCGGGGGCCUGGGAAGAGUUAUCUUUUAUUUUUAACAACUUUACCACCCUAAAAUUGGUUCAACUGGAGAUAGGGUCCAACAUCUGAAAGAUCACCACAUGUCUUGUGGUUUUUGGUGCCCCCUCGAUGACCAUUGUAAAUAUGGUGAAUCGAGUACCAUCCCUGCCUGAUUGUACUCAUAUCUAGCUCCUUGGAUUUUUCAAUGUCCACUA